rnacentral:lncRNA from 1 species
AAGAAACGUUUAAAACAGUGUACUGAAUCUCAAAACUUCGCUAAAUAUACUGAGUAUGAAACAUAAGUUUUAAAUUAAAUAUAUGAAAUUGAAAGACUCUAAAAAUUGUCUAUCUAUGAAGCCUCUACUAUACAAAAAUGAGUGUCAGGACAAGACCCACGACUCCUCAAAAGAAUUACUACUAACAAUAAAACUGGAGUCCUCCGGAAGCAAGGAGGUCUUACUCAAAAGCUGACGAGUGGAUGAAGGGAUCUCAACAUACUCUUGUUAAGGAUCUUAAGAACAUGUACCCGCAUCAUUAAAAGAUCCAGGUUGAAUAACAUCAAUACAUUGAAUGUUCGAGUAUGUAAUAUAGUUGAAUAACAAAUAACUGAAAGAAAGGACUGCUCUCGUCUGUGGUGCCAGUCCAACAAUCUGGUGGUCCAGCAGCCUCGGCUCGCCUUGCGCUACUUUCAGAAAAUAAAAAAUAAAAAAUAGAAAGUAAUAGAAAGUAGAAUUCCUGAGUCUGGCAAUAAAUAACAAUGAACUCAAGUUGAAUGUAAAUAAAUAAAGGAGUAAAAUCAUUUAAAGUUUUUCAAAAUACUUUCUCAUCUCUUAACUCAACAUAAUAAGUGAUAUAUAAAAAUACACUUUAACUCUAUUGGGAGAUUCUCUAACUGACAACCAUCACUAUGAGCUACAUGAUGAUACAACGUCUCGCCCACACUGCCAGAACUGUCAUAUACCUUGUCGGCGUAUAGAACACCUCAACUAAGUGGAUCCACUAAGCUAUGCUUAAAAGCAAUAAUGAAUCACCUAAUAAGUAUGACCUUUUACUAAUGUUGGCAUACAUGGUUUAUGGGGGUUGUGACUUGUCUGAACUCUCUCCCAUAUCAGUGCUCAAUACUACUCCCAAUAAUAUAUACUCAUGCUCAUAUGUUUGAAAAAACAUAACUCUUCCUCUGGAUUGAGAUAAUUUCUCAAACUACCUUCUUAAAAGAGGUAACUGCUCUUGAAAUAACUUUUGAACUCAUAACUCAUUUAGAAAUCUCAGUUUCUCUUUUAUCAAUGUAAAAAUUGAUGCCUCUAGGAAUACAUAGUCCCCUUAUAUUCAUACUUGAAAACUCUUUCUCAAAAAAAUAAAAAUCAUAUUAUAAUAUGAUCAUUGAUGACUUGGGAAGUCAUAUACUGCAUAAGCAUUAAUGGUAUAUCUAGAUACCAUACUGCUUAAACAUUGAUGGCAUACUCGGUUGUCAUACUAAUCAUGUUUUAGAAAUUCUUUCUUCAAAACUCAUCUUUACUUCCUCAAAACUCAGUUUAAAACUCAAGUGUUGGCUUUAAAAAACUUGUCAAAAUUUAUAACUCAAUUCAUAGGGUUCAUGCGGAAUUAUGGGCAUGAACGAUUCAAAUCAGGGAUCUUAAGAGCAAUAUGAAAACUUAGUACUCAGAACUCAAGAACUCAAAACUCAACAAUAUUACUCAUCUCAUGAAUACUCAAUUCAUAGGGUUCAUGUUGAAAUAUAGACAUGAACGAAUCAAUUCGAGAAUCUUAAUGCAUAACAUAUAGAAAUUAAAUAAUUAGGAAUAGAAUUUGAAAAAGAAAUAGGAACUCAAGAACUCAAAAUCAACUUAUCUCAAGAAUACUCAAAUCUAGGGAUAUAAUCCUAGAUUACUCUUUUACUGAUUUGAAAGUAGAUGUAGGGCGUGAGGACGAAUUAGUCCAACACUAUGAUAGCCUUACAUACCUGGAAGAACAAGGUUCAUGAAGAGUCUUGAAGAAGAACUUGAUUAGAAGCCUUGAAAUCCUAGCUUAAAGGAGAAAAAGCAAGAAGACCUUUCUUGAGAUUUCUUGAAUUAGUUUCUUGAAACUUUAUGAUCAAGAAUUAGGAUUCUCAUUAAUGAUUCAUAAUUGCAUGAAGAAAAUUGAGUUGGAAAGAAUGGAAUUCUUGGAGAAAGACUUAUCUUGAAGAAGAAUCUUGAAAAAAUUGAAAGAAUCUCGAAUGGAGUCUUCUACUUUGAUUUUUCCCUUAGGGUUUUGUCUUAUGGUUUGAGAGAGAAGAGAAUGGGGGAUUAAGAUAUGAAAAUUUGAUUGGUUUUGGUCUUUAAUUAGUCAAGAAAUUAUUUUAGUGUUUUCUUAGAGGUAAAAAGACAAAAAAAGACCCUUUUUAAUGAUUUUAUGUCGGCUAAUUCAUCACUGCACUGUAGCAAAUUACUUGUAAUGACCCUCCUGGUCAUUUCUAUGUUUUGCCUUGGUGUGUCGUUUAGAGCGUUCCUGUAGCGAUCUCAAGUCAUUUAUGACUUGCUGGGACUGACAGUUCGGUCACCUGGUUGUUCGUUUGACUUUUGUGUGAGUUUUAGUGUUUUUGGAGCUUAUGAACCUUGAAUGAUCGUUUUCGAUCAAAAGUUCAAGAAGAUGACAUCAGAAUUCAAUUCUAACAAUUCCAUCAGCUCCAAAAGGGUCAUUUUAGGCUAGUAGCAUAGUCGACAUCACUCCCGAGGUUUUCAGUGUGAGUCGGUGCGAUUAGGCGUUUUAACUUUAAGUUUAAGCCUAAGUCUGACUUUAGUCAACAUUCUGAGUAAACACACUCGGAUGAGAAUUUCGUCAGAGCAGUUAGCUCCGAAAUGUCGAGUUUGGUCUAGAUUGACCCUUCUUUUGUGUCUCGAGGUUUCCGAUAUUUUUAAGACCCCUUUUGUGGUUUCUAACUUAAAAUGACAUUUGAGUGUGGAACCCACUUUUGUCAAGAUGACCUCUUUGGAAAUUUUGACUGCGCCAUUGAGUCCGGAAUAUCAAAUUUGGUAUGGUUGUAUAUCUCGUUUGCGUGCACGGGGUUCCGAACGAUAUUGGAGCACCCUGUCGGAGUUUUAAGUUUUGGAAAGAAAUUGCAGAAAAAUCUGCUAUAAAUGCAGAAAAUAUAAGCAGCCCUUUCCAAACCUAAAACACUCAUAACUCUCUCAUCUCUCAACCGAAUUAGGCAAUUCGAAGUACGGGAGCUUCGUAUUUUCGGUGGCUUCACUGUAGAGUGUUCGGAAGUUGUCGGGUGUGCGUCGUUCGAGAUAAAUUUGGUUAUAAACCUGACUGUUAGGGCCUUUUUCGAGUUUUUGUUUUUGGCAUCCUUGUUUUGGUCAUAUCUCACUCAUUUUAGCUCGAUUUUGGGUGAUUCAAAGUCUCACGUGUUGGGAAUUGUCGUGAAUUUGUCGUAGAGUGUUCAAGGAAUGUUGGGCACCUUUCGAUUCUCAUAACUUUUGAGUUUAGACUGCUGCAUGUUUUCUUUUAAGUUGAUUAAAGUGUGAUUUUUCCUUGCAUGUUGGGUUUUGCUGCGUUUUGUGCCCCGAAUUGUGUUCCAUUUUGGAACACAAGUUCGGGGUAUUGUUUUGGGUCUCUUGACGGAGUCAAAUACGAACAGUUCGGUGCGGGUACCACGAUUCCCAUUUUGAUCCAAAUUUGACCCAUCUCUGUUUGUUGUGAUUUUUGUGUCUAAACGACUGUACUAACGUUGUGAUCCUAUAUUUGAUAGAGUGGCAGCGUUUAAGGGUCGUUCGGGAAGGAAAAGCUCCGACAAAGUGAUUUAGAGCACGCGCGGUCGGCCUGAAGGUAGGCUACGACUUCCUUUCUUUUAGAUUGAGCUUAAUUAUGUAAAAGCAUGUCGAUUGGAGUGAAUUGGGGAUGGGUACCAGUUUCCUACUUUACUUUGAUUAGAUACCUUAUAUUAGUAUCGAUUGGCCAUAUUUCAGGGUAGUAUCAUGUUAACCGGUUUAGUAGAGUUGCAUGCCUAUGUGUUAAAUGCUAUUGUAUGCUUGUAUGCUAUGCGUUAUAUGCCUUGUUUAUCCUUAACUGUAAGAAUGAUGUCCUCAGUCUAGGUUAGGCUAGCAUUGCCUUAGACUUAUGACCCGUGUGGAAUGGAUAGUCUUGACUUUCUGCCAACGUUGUUCGGAUAACUUAGCUCUUUGUAGACUGGAGUAGCAGACUUGAGUCUGAUAGUUUGAGCCUUAGAUUAGGCGUUAUCGCUGCUUGCUGCACUUCUGUAUCUUCUCCUUCUAGUCCCGACGCAUUCUCGAAGGUUUGGUACAUCACUAAAGGUGUGGAGUUGAGAUAGUAUAGGCUUGGAGCCUUUUCUGUGAUUUCUUAGAGUGGAGAGCGUUCCAUGGUGGUUCUUGUUGGAUUGGAUCCUAUUAGAGAUACCAUCACCCAUGGGGUCGUUCUUUCUAGCUGGGCUAGGAGAGUAUCGCUGGCUGGGUAGACUCGGUGAUAUGAGCGAUCUCCCUCGGGCCUCUCUUUCUAGCUGGGCUGGGAGUGUGCUGCUGGCUGGGUGUCCCCGGGUCGCUCUUUCUAGUUGGGAUGGGAGCUGAUUGCAUGGUAGGACGACUCGCGAUAUCUACCUCACUCACGGGUCCCUCUUUCUAGCUGGGCUGGGAGUGGACUGUUUGGUUGGGUGCCUCCUAGGGUCACUCUUUCUAGCUGGGCUGGGAGUGCAUUGCUGGCUUGGUGGAGUUUGAUGGAUUAUCUUGGUUACUUUGGGCUGGGAGCCCGGUUUUCUUCUUUCUCAUUAGACUUAGUUAUUCUGUGUACCUGUCGGGCUUAUGGGCGUCCGUUCAGGUUUUAUUUAAACUUAUGCACUAGUGUACCUUCUGGGUUUAUGGGGGUCUAGUAUGCUCAUGUGCUUUUUUUUCAUAUCCCCUUUGACUUUUCUGUGUCUAGAUGCCAUCAUUUCUUAUUGUUUUUACCCUUUUUGCUGAGUCGGCCUAUGAUGCCUACUGAGUACAUGUUGUUUUGGUACUCAUGCUACGCUCUGCAUCUACUUCGUGAUCUAGGUCCCAAUACCAGUUACCAGCGGUGAUUAGUUCCAGUUUUCUUUUGCAGCUGUGAUUAGGAGAUGAGGGCGAGCACUUGGCGUUUUGGGUUUGUCUUGUCUCCUUCUUUUGUUUUAACUAGUCUUGUUGCCUUUGAGACACGCUUUGUUGUGGUCCACUUUUGGGACUUGUACUCUUUAUUAGAUAGCUCUGUACUAGUGACUUCCAGGUUCUGGGAGGGAUUUCUGUAUAUAUUUAUUUUGGUUUUCUUCCGCCUUGUUGUCCUUGUUUAGAUUAUUAUUUUCUCUAGUUUCUGCCCUUUCGCUCAUUGCUUGAUGUUGUGGGUUACGGGUUGGCUUACCUACUGGUAGGGCACUAUGGUGCCAUCAUGACUCGAGAAAUCGGGUCCUGACAAGUUGGUAUCAGAGCCCCAGGUUCAUCGGUCUCACUUGUACUGAGCUAACGUCUAGUAGAGUCCUGCGGAUCGGUGCGGAGACGUCCGUAACUUAUCUUCGGGAGGCUACAGGAUGUCUUUAGGAAGAUUUCCUCUUUUGUUUCACUUUCGUGCAACGUGUGUCUUAUCGGUUCUUUGAAAUCUCACUUGUUUCACUAUUUCGCAGGAUAGCUCGAUCGCGAGGUGGCAAGGCCAGGUGUGAUGCACCCGGGCCUGUAGAUAGACCCCCAGCUUGGGGUAGACGCCGACCCCAAGGUCGAGACAGGGUCACAGCACCAGCCCAGGAGAGAGAUGAAGAUCCAGAGCCAGUAGCAGACCCUCCAGCACCUCGUAUACCAGAUCAGCCGGUGGGGCCGAGGCCAGCCCAACCGGCACCCGGACUAGUUUGGACUCCAGAUUUCCAGGAAGCUAUUGCUCAGCUCCUGGGUGUGCUUGGGGUUAUGCAGCAUCCACCCGCCCUAGCUACACCAGCACUAGUACCGCAGGAUCAGCCUACAGUGAGGGCGCCUCAGGUCCAGGUACCACCUGAGGGAGUACAUCCCUUGGCAGCGAACAUACCUAUCCCGCUUGAGGACCAGAAAAUGCUUGGUGUGUUUCUCAGGUUGAUGCCACCGAGGUUUUCUGGGGCUGUGGGUGAGGAUGCCCACGAGUUUCUUACUACCUUCCGUGAGAGGCUUCGCACUUUGGGUCUAGUGGAGUCUAGAGGGGCCAACUUCAUUGCUUACCAGCUAGAUAGGCCAGCCAGGCAAUGGUGGCGCACAUUCAUUCAGACUAGUCUAGUUAGAUCUCCACCGGUAUCAUGGGAUCAGUUUUCUCAGGCAUUCUUGGCCAAGUUUAUCCCUCGUAGCGUCAGAGACCGCCUCAGGGAUCAGUUCUACAGGUUGGAGCAAUGCUCCAUAUCGGUGGCAGAGUACGAGACUAGGUUCCACGAGCUCUCUCGUCAUGCCUAGAUGAUAUUACCUACAGAAGAUGAUAGAGUUAGGUGCUUUGUUCGUGGGUUGAGAUUACAGCUUCGACUUGAGUCCAAGUCCUUAGUUUCUGCGAGUCAAUCUUUUUUAGACGUAGUUGACCAUGCCAGUACUAUGGAGCAUCUUCGUCGCGAGGCCCAAGAGGGCAGAAAGAAGAGGACUAGGCAUGAGGGCAGCUACAAUGACUUCUGCCCCAAGUCUAGGGAUUAUUAUGAUAGGACCGGACGACGGUUUCGACAGGGUCAGUUUAGCCGGCCUACCCAGGCCUCUCUUCAGGUAUCAGAUGGUGGUCGGAGCGAGGCCAGUUCAAGUUAGGGCCGUGAGGUGUUUCAGUAGGGUUCUUUAGGCCAUGGUGGUCAUUGUUCUGGGAGUCGUCCUCGACAGGGUUGCUAUGAGUGUGGUGAGAUGGGUCAUUGGGCCAGGGACUACCCUCAGCAUAGUCGGAUUGCUCCCGCUCCUCAGGCAGCUCCCCCAUCUUUACCAGCACCUCCAGCUAGAGGCCGUGGUCAAGGUCAGGAUCGUAGAGGUGGUCAUCAGGGUAUACGGGGUGGUCACCGAGGAAGCAGGUCAGGUGAUAGGUUUGAUGGUCAGGGCAGAGGCAGACAUAACCAUUUCUAUGCAGCUCCAACGAGGGUGGAGGCUGAGGAGUCAGACGAUGUGAUCAUAGGUACGAUUCUUUUAUGCCAGCAGCCCGCCUUGGCAUUAUUUGAUUCGGGCUCUACUUUUUCAUAUUUUUCUAUUUACUAUGCCUCUCGCUUUAGUAUUAUAUCUGAGCCUCUGGUAGCAUCGUUGCAUAUGUCGACCCCCGUGGGUGAGUCAUUAGUAGUGGAUCAGGUAUUUCGAUCUUGCUUAGUUACUAUCCAGGCAUGACACCCGGGCUAACCUCAUAUUGCUUGACAUAGUUGAUUUCGAUAUGAUUAUAGGAAUGGAUUGAUUAUCCCCUUAUUGCGUCGUUUUAGAUUGCUUCUUUAAGACCUUUACCUUAGUCAUUCUUGGUAUUCCUCCGGUGGUGUGGCAGGGAUCUGGUGGUAGCACACCAGUUGGGGUUAUCUCUUUUAUUCGGGCUAGGAGGCUAGUGGCUAGCAGAUGCUGAUCAUAUUUGGCAUUUGUGCGUGAUGUGAGUAGGGAGGUCCCUCCGGUUGAGUCAGUUAGUGUUGUUCAUGACUUCUUAGAUGUGUUUUCUACCGACCUACCUGGCCUAACCCAAGAGCGUGAUAUUGAUUUUUCGAUUGAGCUUGAGUUGGGUAUUCGACCUAUUUCUAUUUCGCCAUAUCGGAUGGAUCCUGCAGAGCUCAAGAAGCUAAGAGUUCAGUUUCAGGAUCUCUUGGGUAAGGGAUUUAUCAGUCCUAGUGUAUCACCUUGGGGCUCUCCUGUUCUUUUUGUUAAGAAGAAGGACGGUACGAUGCGCAUGUGCAUUGACUAUAGGCAGUUGAAUAAGGUGACAAUGAAGAAUCGAUAUCCUCUGCUUCGGAUUGAUGACCUAUUUGACCAGCUACAUGGAGCUUCAGUGUUCUCUAAGAUUGAUUUGAGGUCCGGUUACCACCAGUUGAGGAUUAGGGCAGCGGACAUCCCUAAGACUGCAUUUAGGACCCAUUAUGGCCAUUAUGAGUUCUUGGUGAUGUCAUUUGGGUUGACUUAUCCCUCUGCUGCCUUUGUGAACUUGAUGACGCGCGUGUUUAGGCCUUAUCUUGAUUCCUUCGUCAUAAUCUUCAUUGAUGACAUUUUGAUAUACUCGCGGAGUAGGGGUGAUCAUGAGCAGCAUUUAAGAGUUGUGCUCCAGACUUUGAGAGAUUAGCGGAUUUAUGCCAAGUUCUCAAAGUGCCAGUUUUGGUUAGACUCUAUAGUGUUCUUGGGGCACGUUGUAUCCAAGGAGGGCAUUAUGGUAGAUCCGGCGAAUAUUGAGGCUAUUCGUGAUUAGGCUAGGCCUACCUCAGUUAUUGAGAUUCGGAGCUUCAUCGAACUAGCAGGCUACUACAGACGAUUUGUGGAGGGUUUCUCUACCUUGGCAGCACCUUUGACCCGGUUGACUUGUGUUGAUGUUCCCUUUGUUUGGUCAAAGGAAUGUGAGGCGAGCUUUUUGAGGCUCAAGGAGUAAUUGACCACCGCUCCUAUAUUGACUCUUCCAGUUGAGGGCGAGGGCUUCACAGUUUAUUGUGACGCAUCCAGCGUUGGUUUUGGUUGUGUAUUGAUGCAGCAGGGCCGUGUUAUUGUUUAUGCGUCGAGGCACUUAAGAUUCAUGAGCGCAACUACCCCACCCAUGACUUGGAGUUGGCGGCGGUAGUUUUCGCACUUAAGAUUUGGAGGCACUACUUGUAUGGAGUUCGAUGUGAGAUCUAUACCGAUCAUAGGAGUCUUAGUAGAUCAUGAGCCAGAGGGACCUUAAUUCGAGGCAGCGUCAUUGGAUUGAGCUCCUGAAGGACUACGACCUCUCUAUUAUUUAUCAUCCAGGCAAGGCAAUGUGGUAGCGAACGCCUUGAGCCGGAAGGCGGUGAGUAUGGGUAGUCUAGCCUUCUUAUCUCUUGAGGAUCGACUCUUGGCUUUGGACAUUUAGUUCUUAGCUAAUAGCAUGGUUCUGUUGGAUAUCUCAGAUUCUAGAUGCGUCUUGGAGUAUAUGGGAGUUCAAUCUUCUUUGCUUGAUAGGAUCCGUGGUUGUCAAUUUGAGGAUGAGGCCUUGGUGGUCCUUAGAGAUCGAGUAUUAGCAGGUGAUGGUGGUCAGACUACCUUAGAUCCUGAUGGAGUGUUGAUAUUCGUCGGCCGCAUCUAUGUUCCGAGAGUUGGGGAUUUGAUACAGUUGAUACUUUCUAAGGAUCAUGAGUCUAGAUACUCUAUCCAUUCGGGCACAACGAAGAUGUAUCGUGAUUUGAGGCAGCAUUACUUGUGGAGUGGCAUGAGGAGAGAUAUUGCUGACUUUGUUUCCCGUUGCUUGUGCUUCCAACAGGUAAAGGCCGAGCAUUUGAGGCCUGGUGGUGAGUUUCAGAGAUUACCCAUUUCGGAGUGGAAGUGGGAUCGCAUUACUAUGGAUUUUGUGGCUGGCUUACCGCGGACUUCUAGAGGUGUUGAUAGCAUUUGGGUCAUCGUAUAUUGAUUGACCAAGUCAGAACGUUUCCUUCCUAUUCAGUCUUCAUUUAGCGCCGAGAGGUUAGCUCGUAUCUACAUUCGGAAGGUGGUUCGACUUCAUGAGGUGCCAGUUUCUAUUAUAUCAGAUCGGGGUUCUCAGUUCACGUCUAGCUUUUGAGGGACCUUUCAGGAUGAGUUGGGCACUCGAGUUGACCUUAAGGUGGUUCGACUUCAUGAGGUGCCAGUUUCUAUUAUAUCAGAUCGGGGUUCUCAGUUCACGUCUAGCUUUUGAGGGACCUUUCAGGAUGAGUUGGGCACUCGAGUUGACCUUAGCACAACUUUCCACCUGUAGAUUGAUGGUCAGUCGGAGUGUACUAUUCAUGUCCUUGAGGACAUGCUGCGGGCUUGUGUUUUGAAAUUUGGUGGUCAUUGGGACCAGUUCUUGCCAUUGGCGGAGUUUGGGUAUAACAACAGCUACCAUUCUAGCAUUCAGAUGGCCUCGUUCGAGGCCUUGUAUGGUAGGCGUUGUCGCUUUCCGGUGGGCUGGUUUGAGUCUACAGAGCCUAGGCCGCGGAGUACAUAUUUGAUUCAAGAGUCUUUGGACCAGGUGAGAGUGAUUAAGGAUAGACUUAGGACGGCUCAGAGUAGGCACCAGAGUUGUGCAGAUCGGAGGCGGUCGACCUUUGAGAUUCUUUGUUGGUGAUCGGGUAUUUCUCCGUGUGUCACCCAUGAAGGGCUUGAUGAGGUUUGGGAGGCGGGGCAAGCUUUGCCCCAGGUACAUUGGGCCUUUUGAGAUACUCCGGACAGUUGGGGAGGUUGCUUAUGAGUUGGCCCUACCUCCAACAUUUUCAACCAUCCACCCGAUUUUCCAUGUCUCGAUGUUGCGCCGGUAUGUUACUGAUGAGUCCCAUGUGCUCCAGUAUGAUGCAGUCGAGUUGGAUGACCGUUUGACAUUUGUAGAGGAGCCAAUUGCCAUUCUAGCCAGUGAUGUGAGGAGGUUGUGCUCGAGAGCCAUUCCUAUUGUUAAGGUCCAUUGGAUGCAUCGUCCAGUCGAGGAGGCUACCUGGGAGACCAAGCAGGAGAUGCGAGAGCAGUUUCCCAGCUUGUUUGAGCCUUCAGGUACUUCUUGACCCUUACUUUCGCGGACGAAAGUCCUUCUUAGUAGUGGAUAUUGUAAUGACCCUCCUGGUCAUUUCUGUGUUGUGCCUUCGGUGUUUCGUCUAGAGCGUUCCUGUAGCGACCCCAAGUCAUUUAUCACUUGCUGGGACUUACAGUUCGGUCAACUGGUCGUUCGUUUGACUUUUGUGCGAGUUUUAGUGUUUUUGGAGCAUAUGAACCUUGAACGAUCAUUUUCGAUCAAAAGUUUAAGAAAAUGACAUCAGAAUCCAAUUCUAACGAUUCCAUCAGCUCUGGAAGGGUCAUUUUAGGCUAGUAGCAUGGUCGGCAUGACUCCCGAGGAUUUCAGUGUGAGUCAGGGCGAUUAGGCGUUUUAACUUUAAGUUUUAAAGCCUAAGUUUGACUUUAGUCAACAUUCUGAGUAAACACGCUUGGAUGAGAAUUUCGUCAGCGCGGUUAGCUCCGGAAUGUCGAGUUUGGUCUAGAUUGACCCUUCUUUUGUGUCCCGAGAUUUCUGAUAUUUUUUCGAGCCUUUUCUGUUAUUUCUUAGAGUGGACGGUGUUCCAUGGUGGCUGUUGUUGGAUUGGAUCCUAUUAGAGAUAUCAUCACCCAUGGGGUCGUUCUUUCUAGCUGGGCUGGGAGAGUAUCGCUGGCUGGGUAGACUCGGUGAUAUCAGCGAUCUCCCCCGAGCCUCUCUUUCUAGCUGGGUUGGGAGUGUGCUGCUGGCUGGGUGUCCCCGGGUCACUCUUUCUAGCUGGGAUGGGAGCUGACUGCAUGGUAGGACGACUCGCGAUAUCUACCUCACUCACGGGUCCCUCUUUCUAACUGGGCUGGGAGUGGACUGUUUGGUUGGGUGCCCCCUAGGGUCUCUCUUUCUAGCUGGGCUGGGAGUGCAUUUCUGGCUUGGUGGAGUCUAAUGGAUUAUCUUGGUUACUUUGGGCUGGGAGCCCGGUUUUCUUCUUUCUCAUUAGACUUAGUUAUUCUGUGUACCUGUCGGGCUUAUGGGGGUCCGUUCAGGUUUUAUUUAAACUUGCGCACGAGUGUACCUUCUGGGCUUAUGGGGGUCCAAUUAGGUUUAGUUUAGUUGUACUUAGUUUAUUUCUGGUAUGCUCGUGUGCUUUCUUUUCAUAUCCAUUUUGACCUUUGUGUGUCUAGAUUAUAUCCUUUCUUAUUGUUUUUACCCUUUUUGCUCAGUCGGCUUGUGAUGCCUACUGAGUACCUAUUGUUUUGGUACUCAUGCUACGCUCUGCAUCUACUUCGAGAUGCAGGUCCCAGUACCAGUUACCAGCGGUGAUUAGUUCCAGCCUUCUUUUGCAGCUGUGAUUCGGAGACGAGGGCAAGUACUUGGCGUUUUGGGUUUGUCUUGUCUCCUUCUUUUGUUUUAGCUAGUCUUGUUGCCUUUGAGACACGCUUUGUUGUGGUCCACUUUUGGGACUUGUACUCUUUAUUAGAUAGCUCUGUACUAGUGACUUCCAGGUUCUGGGAGUGAUUUCUGUAUAUAUUUAUUUUGGUUUGCUUCCGCCUUGUUGUCCUUGUUUAGAUUAUUGUUUUUGGUAGUUUCUGCACUUUCGCUCAUUGCUUGAUGUUAUGGGUUACCGGUUGGUUUACCUACUGGUAGGGCAUAGUAGGUGCCAUCAUGACUCGAGAAAUUGGGUCGUGACAUUACUAAAAUAGUCAAAGCUUUUUACUCAAAACUUGAAUUGACGCUAAAUUGGUGGCUUUGGAAAAAAAACUCAAAUACCUUUAAUUUGAUAGCCACGUAACUCUUUAUAUUCUAAGAGAUAUAUUAAUCGGUAAGGAAACUUUCAAAUCAACUUUGUGCUAAGAGAUUCUAGUGACCUUAAUUCAUAUCCAAAUUCAUUCACACACUAAAGAAUUGACCUUAACACCUAAAAAAAUUAAGAGUCACUUAGUACGACCUUAUACACAAUUCAAGAAUGGUUAGGAGCUUAAGUUAGAAAUUUUUUGGGUGUUACAAUAAUUUUGACGGUUUCAUCAGCUCUGAAAGCGCCAUUUUAGGCUAGGGGCAUUGUUGGUUUGAGCCCCGAGACUUCAGGUGUAAGUUUCUGCCGUUAGGCGUUUUAACUUAGAAGCUUAAGUCAAGGGUUGACAUUGGUCAAUAUUCUUGGUAAACGUGCUCAGAUGAGAAUUUCAUCAGUGCGGUUAGCUCAGAAAUGUCGAGUUUGGUCUAGAACAACCUCUCGUGCGGUUCCCUAGGCUUUUGGUCUCAUUUUGAGUCUUCUUGUGGUUUUAAAAUGGAACUUGAGUGUAAGACCCAUUUUUCAUAGAAAUAACCUCGGAUGAGAGUUUUGAUGGGCUCGUUGAGUCUGAAAUAUCGAAUUUGAUGGGGUAGAAUAUUUUGUUAGCACACACGGGGUUCCGAACGAAUCUUGGACACCCCAUUAGAGAAUUCGGAGCAAACUGUUGAUAUCUGGUGCAGGUUUUUAGCGACCAAAUAUCAAACUUAGAGUCCAAAUUUGGGUAUAUAUAACCCAAAAAUUUCAGCUUUAAGCCCUCAUUUUCAAAUGGCAAUUUCUCCCUCAUCCAAGCUCUGAUUUGAGUAAUUCGAAGUCUUGUGUGAUCGCAGGGAGCGUGGAUACUUGGGUUUGUGAUUAGAAAUUGUCAAAGAACCUUUGUUUGAGGUAAAUUUUAGCUCGAAGCUACUGUCUUAGCUUGGUUUUCUUAUUAAUUUUGCAUGUGGUGGUUUGGGCUAUUCCGAGCAUGGAAUUGAUCCCCGUUUCGGGGCACAAGCUCAACUAGUCGAUUAGGUCCUUUUGACGGAGUCAAUUUCAAAAUUCCAUGUGUGGGUCUCACAUUCUCAUUUUGACUCCAUUUUGGCUCCAUUUUCAAUUGUUCCAAUUUCAGUGUCAAAAUGCAUGUGAUGACGUUGUGAUUGAUAAUUUUAUCGUUUAGCAGUGUUCGGAGGCAUUUAGGAUGCGGAUAACAGUUUUACAUUGAAAAAGAGAAACUUUGAUUUCUAAAAAGAGUAAUGAGUUUAGAGAUUAAUUCAGAGCAGUUACUUUUUUUAAGAGGACAUUUUGUGUAAUUACCUUAAAUUGAGAAAGAAUAUGUUUUAGACAUUUGAGCAUGAGUAUAUAUAUUUAUUGGGAGUAGUAUUGAGAACCGAUAUGGGUAUGAGUUAUGACAACUCACGUUCCUCAUAAACCAUGUAGCCAACAUGGGUAAAUGAUCGUACUUUUUAGAUGACUCCUUAUUGCUUUCGAGCAUAGCUUAGUGGAUCCACUUAGUUGAGGUGUUCUAUACCCCGACAAGGUAUAGGACAAUUUUAAAAGUGUGGGCGAGACGUUGUAUCAUCACAUAACUCACAAUGAUGGUUGUCGGUUAGAGAAUCUCCCAAAUAAGAGUGAAGAGUAACUUAUUGUAUUUUUAUACACAUCUUUGUGUUAGUAUCUUUUAUUAAUGAAACUUUAAACAUUUCAUCUUUUGUUAUUGCUUUGUUAUACUAAUCUUGAUUAUUUAUUCAAGUGUACCAAAAGAAUUUACCUUAUUAGAAUGCAAGAAUAAAAGACGUAUACUAAUGAUUGGGGAAAUUUAAGGGCAGCAGCUUACUUAGAAUUCAUGCAUGGUAUCUUCUUCUAUGGACUUCAAUUAGUUAUCAAAAUCGCUGAUUUACAAGGUUAAAUGUAUGAUCAUGGUCUCUCGACCUCUUGGCAGUCUAACUACAUCGUUGAUCGGGGAUAAACUGAAUCAAUUGCGGGGCAUUAAGUUAUCAUCUUGUUUAGUAACCAAGCAAUGUCUCUAGGUAUAUCCCUAUCCUAGAUACAAAUCAACCCUAAUUCUAGAGAAGAUCGUGCUCUUUUUGUCCCACGUUCUAUCCUCAUAUUCCUCUCCCUAGUUCAAUUGAGACAAUAUAUUUAUUUCAAUGGUGGUCACUCACAAAAUACUAAAAUAAGAACAAAAGAGCAUUUUAUGCGAUGACAAUUUUUAAUACAUAAAAUUCAAUACUAUACAAUCAUCAUGUAGCCACAACCCUAGAACAAAGGUCUUCAGUUACUAAUGCCUAAGAAGAGAAAAAAUAAGAAAAGAAUCCUAAAAAAGUAUCGACAACGUAUCCUUCCAAAGUCUCCGUAUAUCCUCCAAUAAUUAUUCUUAUGGACUAUUUAUAAAUGUAGAAAACCCUAAAAAAAAAUAGUAGAGUCCAAACAAAUUGGGAAAGCAAAACCUACACGAAAUUGGAGGUGCCUUCAUUCAGUGCCAUGUGGCAACAAGAUAAUUGUCUAUCAAAAUCUGCUUCCUUUCAAUUCUGCGUACAUUUGAAUGUAUAUAAAUAUUAAUAUAAUGUUCAAUUUAAUCCAUCAAAUUUUCUGCUUUCAUUCUUCAACCUUUCAUUUUUAAUUCAUUUUAGCUCCAAACUUCUCUAUCUUCACACCAAUUUAAUCCUACAAAUAAAAUAUACUAUUAAGUACAAUCCACAAAAAUUCAUGCCCAAAAAUAACAAAUAAAAAUAAUAAAUGUGAGGCAAAUAAUGAUUUAAAAUAUGUAAUUUUGCCUCACAUCAUAUAGUAUGUGUGGAAAGCUCUCAAAUUGUGUUCAACUUAACUGAAGUAUAUGGGCUUCAUACGAUGGAGGAUAGGAAAAUGCUAUGGCAGGAUCCCAGGGAGAUACAUAUGAAUCAACAAGGGGCUUGGCUAGCACUGGGAGAUUAUAAUGCUAUACUUGAUUCUGAAGACAGAAUAAUAGGAAAUCUAGUUAGAGAAAUGGAAAUUGUGGACUUUAAUGAAUUCCUACUUGAUAGUAGUAUAAUUGAAAUGCGAUCAAGGGGUAGAAGUUUCACUUGGACUAACAGACAUAUUUCUAGAAAGAUCGAUCGAGUUCUAGUCAAUGGGGAGUGGAUGUUAAUGUUCCCACAACUAGAAGUCCACGUUAUGGACCCAAAAUUUCCAGACCAUUCUCCACUUAGAGUCCAGAUUGCUAUGGAAAACUAUGAAUACCCAAAACCUUUCAGAUUCUUGAAUUGUAUUGUCGAUCAUGAAGAGUUUUUGGGGUUGUGCAGAGAGUGUGGCUUCAUAGUAGAAGAGAAGGGUAUAUGAAAAGUGUUUGGAAAAGUCUUAAAUUGAUAUCAACUUAACAUUCUAAGACAACAGUUGGAUGAUAUCCAAACCACCAUGAGACAUCCUGAACAUGAUCAUGAUAUUUUUAGACAGGAGAACACACCUCUACAUCUUUUCAUAUCUAUUGUCAGAGGAUUGCUGCUCAUAACUACUAGCUAUCCAUCUAGCCCACGAUAGCGAAGUCUCAAAAAAAAGAUUGGCAUUAAGCUAUAACUACAAAAAUGGGACAACAUUGUUGGGAGUAUCUUAAAGAAGAAAUCUAGAAUGACUUGGCUAAAAUUAGGAGAUGCAAAUAGAUCCUUUUUUUUGCUAGCAUAAAAUCUAGAAUAUCCCAUAACAAAAUUAAGAGUCUUACUACAUCUGCUGGUAUUGUCCUACUCACACAAGAUGAGGUCAAAAAUGAGAUAAUCAACUUCUACAGAGGUGUGCUGGGAACUGCAGCUACACACUUACCUACCGUAAAUCCAAUCCUAUGCUGGAUAGACAACAUCAAUUGAAACUCAUUGAAUUUGUUACUAAGAAAGAAAUCCUAAAUGCACUUAAAGGGAUAGAGGACUCAAAAGCACCAGGAUGUAAUGGUUACAACACUUAUUUCUUUAAGAAAGCAUAGAAUGUCAUAGGCGAGGAGGUCAAAAAUGCUAUCUUGGAAUACUUCUCAACUGAAAAAUGUUUAAGGACAUAAACUAAACAAUUAUAACACUGAUUCCUAAAGUCAAGAACCCAACUAAGGUCAUUAAAUACAGGCCAAUAUCAUGUUGUACUAUUCUCUAUAAUCCCAUCUCAAAGGUUUUAACUGCUAGGAUGAGAGUGACAAUGGAUGGGCUAGUGCAUGCUAGCAAAUCUGCGUUUGUUCCAGGGAGAGUGAUCACUGAUAACAUUAUCAUGAGCCAUGAUAUCAUCAAAUGGUACGGAAGGAAACAUAUAUCCCCUAGAUGCAUGAUGAAGAUCGACAUGAAGAAAGCUUAUGAUUCUAUUGAAUGACCUUUUCUAGAGCAGGUAUUGAAAAUUAUCAAUUUCCCACCUAUAUUUGUGAAUUGGAUUAUGACAUGUGUUACCAAAGUGUCUUACUCUAUACUCAUUAAUAGUGUGCCUACUGUCCCGUUCAAUGCAAAAAAGGACCUUAGACAGGGUGAUCCCUUAUCCCCUUAUCUCUUUGUGUUGUCUAUGGAAUACUUGAAUAGACAACUACCAACUUUGAAGAACCAACUUGAUUUUAACAUUUAUCCCAAGUGUGGGAAGUUGUCCAUCACACAUCUUGGCUUUGCUGACGACUUACUACUUUUCAGUAGAGGUGAUCUAACAUUUGUUCGUAUGAUCUAUGAAUAUUUUAAUGUAUUCUCUAAUGCAUUUGGUCUGGUAACAAACAUUGAGAAGAGCUCUAUUUAAUUUGGAGGUGUACCAAUGGCUGAGCAGGAAGCAAUAUUACAGAGUUUGGUAUUUGCCAAAGGUAUCCUUCAUUUCAAAUAUCUUGGCAUCCCUCUCACAUCAAAGAAGACAAUCAUUAUCCAAUAUAAAUCACUACUAGAUAAGAUGUUGGAUAGGAUAAAAUUCUGGACAUCUAGAUUUUUGUCAUAUGCAGGUCGGGUGCAAAUGAUCAAAAAAUAUCCUAUUUUCUAUCCAAGUAUUUUGGUCGCAAGUUUUCAUCCUUCCACAAAAGGUGAUCCAAGUGGCAAUAUCAUUGUGUAAAAAGUUAUUGUGGUCUGGUGGAGCUGACACUAUAAAGACAUCAAUAAUAGCACGAGAGAAAUUAUGCAAUCUAAAAGCAGCAAGGGGAAUGGGAUUCCUAGAUAUUACAGACUGGAAUAGAGCUGCAAUUUGCAAACAUCUAUGUAACUUUUUCUUGAAGAAAUAUAGACUAUGGAUCCAAUGGAUUCACGCAUAUUAUAUCAAAGGGGGCCGAUCUAGCAUACAAAUGCCCCCAAGCAUCUUGGAUGAUAAAGAAGAUUCUUAAGGCCAAUGAUAGUGUUAAAGCUACUGGAUAUAAUGAGUAGGAAGUGGUUGCUAUAAAUAAGUUGAGUACAAAGCUAAUAUACUCUUAGUUAAGGCGAACUUAUACCAAAGUACACUUGAGAAGAAUAGUAUGUAACAAUCAUGGUGCCCCAAAAUGGAAGUUUAUAUUGUUCUUAGUUACUUUAAGGAGAUUAUUGACCAGUGAUAGACUAGCCAAAUGGAACACUAUUACUGAUGGGGUUUGGACAUAAAUAUCGAAAAAUCAAGAUAUCAAACUGAACCAAAUUUUUUUGGUAUUUCACUUUUUGGUAUGUUUUUUUGUGUUUUCAGCAUUUUAGUUCGGUUUCAGUAUGUGUUUUUGUAUUUUUGGUUUAACCAAAAUAUACAUGUAUAUUUCACUUUUCAAUUGUAACACCCCAAAAAUUUCUAAGUUAAGACUCAAAUCAUUCUUCAUUUGUAAAUAAGAUUGUACCGGAUGAUUCUUAAAUUUCUCAUGUAUGUAAAGGUCAAUUAUUUAAUGUGGAAAUGAAUUUGGAUAUGAGUUAGGUCACUAGAAUCCCCUAGCACAAAGUUGGGUUGAACGCUUCUAUACCAAUUAAGUUUUGAUGUAAGAUUCUACUUGGGUCAACUUCAAACAACCAUAUCUCUUAGAAUAUAUAGGGUUACGUGGACCAUAAUCUAUUAUAUUAAAUGUAUUUGAAUAAUCUUUCCAACGCCACCAAUUUCACAACAAUCUAAGUUCUCAGUAAAAUGUUAUGACAAUUUUAGUAACCUGAUACAGUGAAGUGAUGAAUUAGCCGACGGGAAAACAUUAAAAAGGGUUGUUUUUGUCUUUUUACCUCUAAGAAAACCCUAAACGAAUUUCUUAACUAAUUAAAGGCCCAAAAAAUCAGAUUUUCAUCUCUUAAUCCCUCAUUUUCUUCUCUCUCACCCCUAAGGCAAAACCCUAAGGAAAGAUCAAAGUAGAAUACUUUCAUUCAAGAUUCUUUCAAUCUUUUUUAAGAUUCUUUCAAUAUUUUUCAAGAUUCUUUUUCAAGGUAAGUCCUUCUCCAAGAAUUUCAUUCUUUCCAAUUCAAAUUCUUCCAUACAAUUAUGAAUCACUAAUAAAAAUUAUAAUUCUUGGCCGUAGAGAUUUCAAGAAACUAAUUCAAGAAAGGAUUUUUUGAUUGUUCUCCUUCAAGCUAGAGUUUCAAGGCUUCUGAUCAAGUUCUUCUUCAAGAUUAUUCAAGAACCUUGUUCUUCCAGGUAUGUAAGGUUAUCAUAGUGUUGGACUAGUUCUUCUUUACGCCCUACAUCUACUUUCAAAUCAGUAAAAGAGUAAUCUAGAAUUUUAUCCCUAGAUUUGAGUAUUCUUGAGAUGAGAUGAUUUUGAGUUCUUGAGUUCCUGAUUCUUUUGAAAUUCUAUUCCUAAUUAUUGAAUUGCCAUUUGUUAGGCAUUAAGAUAUAUUUCAACAUGAACGCUAUGAAUUGAGUAUUCUUGAGAUGAGUAGUAUAAUUGAGUUUUGAGUUCUUUAUUUCUGAGUAUUGAGUUUUUCAUAUUAUUAUUGAGAUCAUUGAGUUGAUUUGUUCAUGUCUAUAUUUCAGAAUGAACCCUAUUUUAAGUUAAAAAUUUUGAGAAUCUUUUAAAAUAGAUAUUUAUGCCUUAUACUGAUUUUCUGAGAAAAUAAAGAUGAGUUUUGAGAAAGAGUUUUAAUCUUGUUCUGGCAGGGUGGGCGAGACGUUGUAUCAUCACGUAGCUCAUAGUGAUGGUUAUCGGUAAGAGAAUCUACCAAAUAGAGUUAAAAGAGUAUUUUUAUUAUAUCACUUAUUAUGCUAAGUUCAAAAAUAAGUAAGUAUUUUUGUAAACUUUUAAUAAUUUCACCUCUUUAUUUCUUUACAUUUAGUUGAGUAUAUGUCUAUAUCUAUUGCACUCCUUUCAUUUAGUUAUUUGUUAUCCAGCUUGUUACGACCCGAUUUCAAAAACUAAAGGUUUCGAAACCAUUUCAUAACUUUUGCAAGUUUAUUGAUUUUUGGGAAAAAUAACAAUUUGGAAGUCGCCACUUAAUUUUUAGGAAAAAUUAAGAAUAAUAGGGGAAUAUUUGAAAGAAAACAUUUUAAAUAAAAUCAGACUCAGGUAAGGGUUCAAAUAAUUCUCUAAGGAGGGGUUUAGGCAUCUUAGAGAAUUUGCUAACACGCGAUUGACCGAUGGAUUUAAAAGCUUGGCUAAUUUUAUUAAAAAAAAAGGGUUACUUAUAAAAAUAUCUUGAUACUUCUAAAAAUCUCAAGAAUAAUCUUAACUUAAAACUUUUAUCCAUAGUCAUGUUUUGAACCAUACAAUUAAUUCAAACUCAUAAACAUGGAUUAAAGGACCUUGUUUAACAACUAUGAAAGGAUAUUAAGGAUCCUUAAGUCAUUCAUACAAAGUACUAAGUUAAAUUAAAGGACAACUAAUUUAUCUUAAGAAACUUAACAAUUUUAUCCUAUUCAAAAAUUUGAACUAAAUAGUUAGUUCAAACUCAUAAACAUGGAUUCAAAGCUUUUCAAUAACUAUGAAAGAACAUGAAAGGUUCUUUAAGUCAUUCUAUAAGCUUAAAUUACCUAACUUAAAAUGGGUUUUGGGAUUUGAAAACUUGAAUAACAAAAUAAAAAAUAUUUCUCCCAAAGAUUCAUCUAAAUUAACAAAAUAAAUGUUAGAAAUUAAUGAUAUACCGUGAGUUUACGGUAUUGUUAAUACAUUUCACUUGAGAGUUGUGUGUGUCUAGGGCCAUUCUGUAUUAGUUCUUAUGUGUUUUCUCAUGUUUUCAGGAAUAAGUUCAGAUGCGGAGAUUUGAAGACACAGCUGAAAGACGUGCAAAAACAGCAUCUACGGAGGAAACCUACAAACAAUAGGUCCAGUUACGCCCCGUAAAUGAUGGACGUCGAUGGGCAGGCAAGGCAUGGCUGAAGAUCAGGAAAUUCUCGACCAAGUGUAGAACCACGGUUGCAACUUACGAACCGUAGAUUGAUCUACGGACCGUACUGUUGCUCCGUAAAAUGUGACAGAAAUUUGGUUCCAGCACCUGAUGCUGAAAAGUCUAAGUAUGGAGCUACGGAGAGGAGUUACGGACCAAAGAUUAACUUACGGUCCGUACUGUUGAACCGUCGAAUAUAACAGAAGUUUGGAAGAUUUUGAAGAUUGAAAAAUUGCCCAAGUCCUGAGCCACGGAAAGGACCUACGGACCGUAGAUAGACUUACGGACCAUAGGUCAGUGUCGUAGAUUAAAGACGCAUCAUGUAAACUUUAUUUCCUUAUUUCGUUUCCUUUUUAGUUAGGACUUGUUUUCCUAUAAAUAGGGUACGUAAACCUCGUUUUUGGGGUUAGACUUUAUUACUUUUAUUCUAGUUCUUGACUUGGGAGAUCAACUUGCAACUUUAGCAAUACUUAAUUUUCUAAGUUCGUUUUGAAGAUUUUGGUGUUGAAAUUCAAGUUGAAGUCUGGGUUUAUUAUUCUUGUUACGUAAGUUCAUGAUUUCUUCUUCUAAAACUAUGAAUCGUGUUCUUGCUAAUACGGGUAACUAAAUCCACAACUAGGGUUGUGGAACCAUGAGCGAUUAACAAAGUGUUGUUGCAUGCAUUAGUAAUUCUUUCGUUUAGAAGUCUUUUUAACGAGAGCAUGUGUUAAAACUCGCCUUGUUGCUACUUGCCGGACCAAGGAGGUAGUUAAUAAGAAAAGAAUUAUCAACAUAGAUUUAGUGUGAUACUAUCUAAUAGAAUUAAUGUCGAUUGGUGCGAGGGUGAAAACUAAGUCAUACAUCGAUGUGACGUCUAAUAUGAGGUAAUGGUAAGGGUUAGUAAAUGAUACACACGUAGCCGGACCAAGGUGCGGGGUGAAAUUCUCUAGAUGCCGGGCCAAGGAUUUAGAUACACAUAACUUAUUGUUUUGCAUGUAAUACACUAGGAAGAGAUUGCUAUUACUAGGAUUACAGAGUUAUGAGCUUAUGGGGAACACGUACUCCCUAGUUUCUUUCUCAAUUUGAUAACAACAAAAGUUUAAAUCUUGCUUACUAAUUACUUUCAUAACUUCCAAAAUUUGUUACACAAAUCCCCCCCCCCUUUUACUUAUUUGUCUCGGAAAUACAUUUGCUAAACGAAUAUAAUCGUUAUUGAACUUAAGUAUAAAUCAUAUUCCUCGUGAAAUUGACCCCAACCUACAAGUUGGGUUCUUUACGUGAUAACGAUCGCUUAUGCUUCUGAAAAGAGGUGUAAUUUGAGCGUAUCAAUUAACGGCAAUUAUCACAAAAUCACAAUAUAAGAAGAAUAAAAGGGCGAAUAGAACUUGGACAAUUUUAAGUACACUUACUGCUUCUUAUUUGCUGCUGCUGGUGCUAAAAUGAUAUUUCCAGCCUUUUGAGACUACUGAAACUGGUGCAAAAACCAAGUGUUCUAAUUUCGGCCAAUUUGAACCGAAAACACUCUCAUUUCAGCUCUUUUGUGCCCCUGUUGCUGCUUCUGAUUUUGGGUUUUUAACCCAAUUUCGCUUCUCAUUUCUCAGCCUUUCAAGGCUGCUGUAGUGGCUGGCUCUUAGGUUUUAUCCCAGUAAUAUUAACCUCCUUUCAAUUGGCUUAAAGGAGGUUGACUCGAGGAGAGGAGUAUGCAAGAAUAGGAGUCCAAUUGGACUCAAACGAGAGAGUUCAUGCCAAGGAAAAAAGGGAAAAAGAUUAACAACAUUUGAAUGAUAUCAACUUGAGCUUAAAACAAACAAUGUCAUGUGAGCUCAAAACUCUAAUUGGCAUGUUUAUCAUGGCUAAAAUUAUACCAAACUUAACCAUAUACUACUAUCGAUCACAGAAAAAAUAAAGAUAAAGCAAAUAUAAAUUAGAGAAAAGAACUAUAUCAAGUAAAUAUGAACUUACUGCUUAAGGAAACAAGCUGAUGUCAACAUGAAUUAAUUUAAGACAUGACACAGAUAGCCAUAUUCAAACACAGCAAUAAAGAAAAAACUACCAAGAGCAAGCAAAACUCUAUCUAGAGUUACUGAACCAGAAUUACAACAAAGAACAUCUAAGGGCAAUCAAGGGUAGCACUUGAAGAUUUACGGCAGUUGAGGUUAGAUUAACUACAAACAGUAAAGAAAAGAGUGGUAUAUUUGCACCUAAAAUCAGUAAAUGAACACGAGAACAUAUUUAUAAUAUUGUCAAAAUUAUUUGAACACCACAUAAUUUCAUAAGCAAUUUAGAAUCUGUGUAUAAAAUAACAUUUCCAAGAUGGAGGCACUUAACAACAAUAGGCAGCCACAACUUAAUUAUGACAACAACUAAACAGAGGUUUCUUACUCCUACUUUAACACAACCUUUGAUCAAACCAAAAAGGAGUUUGAAACAGAUUCAAGUAUAGUUUAAAGAUAAACAACUUUAGACUCAACUUGAUCAAGUUUUAAGCCAAUUCAUUUAGCAUAUACGAAAGGCAAACAAGAAAGAGCAAGGAGAUAUAAAAUAACUUAGAGAAUUUAAACAAGGAUCUAAGUAGAGUAAUCUAAUAAAUUUUAGGACGUAUAAAAGCUAUGAUAUGAGCUUUCAUCCAUCCCAGCCUAACUCUUUGGAGAGUGUUAAAGAGCAGCCCCAAAGGUAAGCAAUUUCUCACUCAGACAGGCUCUCGAUUGGCAUUGAAAGCCAAUGGUCUGUUAUUUGACAAAUCACACCAACAGAUUUUACAAAAUAGACAGACAUAGAUGACAUUCAACAACGAAUACAGGCUUCAAAGAAAAAAAAACAGAAGAUGAAAACCUUAAAACUGAUAAAACUAAACUCCAUAUUUCAGAUUUUCAUUACCACUUAGAUAGGUUAAUCAAUCAAGAUAAACUAGAUACUUCAAAAGCCUUUCCAAAUCAAAAUGAAUUCAAGUUACAAAAUCCAACCUAAUAGCUAGGAAUGCUUGAACAUGAAAAUCACAACUCUAACUCUAUUCAACACUAAUUAAACUUAUCCCAAGACAAUAGCAAAUGCUGAAAUUAAGGCAUGACUAUCCUACAUAUAAAUUAACCGAGUUCAAAGAUGAGCAAUUUUGCUAUUUUUUUUAAUCUAUUAGAAAAAUACUUAAACAGCUAAUGCCAAACACAUUUCAAUGAACAAGACAUAAUUAAGAGCCAACAUAAAUGUUGAAAUAAAGAGAAGAUUACCUGGUUGUGGGCAGCGAACCGGACGAUGAGUUUGACGGAGACGGUUCCACUACCUCUUUCAACUCGAAUGAUCACAAAAGCCACAAAACUUUAAACUAUUGAGCCGAGAAUUCCCAAACCCUUUUGGGGUACUCUCAAUCUCCAAAAACCGUCCCUUUGAACAGUGAAUGGGGUUGGUUUAUAUAAAAACCAAAAAAAAUUCCAAAAUGGAAGAAAUCUCGAUAUGGGACUGUUGCAAAUUGAAAAUCGUUUGAGAAACGAUGUGGGUGAGGCCGAAAUCUCCAAUUUUCGCAGUGGAUAAGGUGUAUGAGCUGGGGAGUGUACGAAUUUGAAAUGAAAAUGAAGAGAAAAAGGAAAUUGGAAUGGACCACACCAUGGUUGCCUCCGGAAGCUCCGAGUGUCUUUAGGCUCGUGCUAAGCACGCAGAUUGUACGAAUAUGAAGUAAAAAAGGGGAAAUUUAAGGCGGCAAAUUUGGGAAUGGGUUCGUUCUUUGGUUUGUUCUGUUCUCGCGUCUCUGUAUUGAGAAUGAGAAGGAGAAGAGCAUGGAGGAUUUUGGGCUUAAGAAUGGGCCGG